GAUGAACGCUGGCGGCGUGCCUAAUACAUGCAAGUCGAGCGAACAGAUGAGGAGCUUGCUCCUCUGACGUUAGCGGCGGACGGGUGAGUAACACGUGGAUAACCUACCUAUAAGACUGGGAUAACUUCGGGAAACCGGAGCUAAUACCGGAUAAUAUAUUGAACCGCAUGGUUCAAUAGUGAAAGACGGUUUUGCUGUCACUUAUAGAUGGAUCCGCGCCGCAUUAGCUAGUUGGUAAGGUAACGGCUUACCAAGGCAACGAUGCGUAGCCGACCUGAGAGGGUGAUCGGCCACACUGGAACUGAGACACGGUCCAGGCUCCUACGGGAGGCAGCAGUAGGGAAUCUUCCGCAAUGGGCGAAAGCUUGACGGAGCAACGCCGCGUGAGUGAUGAAGGUCUUCGGAUCGUAAAACUCUGUUAUUAGGGAAGAACAAAUGUGUAAGUAACUAUGCACGUCUUGACGGUACCUAGUCAGAAAGCCACGGCUAACUACGUG
rnacentral:rRNA from 1 species